rnacentral:rRNA from 1 species
CAGUAACGGCGAGUGAAGCGGCAACAGCUCAAAUUUGAAAUCUGGCCCCCCGCGGGCCCGAGUUGUACUUUGGAGAGGACGCUUCUGGCGCGGCGCCGUCCGAGUUCCCUGGAACGGGACGCCGGAGAGGGUGAGAGCCCCGUACGGGCGGCCGCCUAGCCUCUGCGAAGCUCCUUCGACGAGUCGAGUAGUUUGGGAAUGCUGCUCAAAAUGGGAGGUAAAUUUCUUCUAAAGCUAAAUACCGGCCAGAGACCGAUAGCGCACAAGUAGAGUGAUCGAAAGAUGAAAAGCACUUUGAAAAGAGGGUCAAACAGUACGUGAAAUUGUUGAAAGGGAAGCGCCUGUGGCCAGACUUGCGCCCCGCGGACCACCCGGCGCCUCGCGCGCCGGGGCACGCCAGCGGGGCGCAGGCCAGCAUCGGCUCUCUCGGGGGGACAAAGGCCGCGGGAACGUAGCGCCCUCGCGGCGUAUUAUAGCCCGCGGCGCCAUGCCCCCGGGGGGGCCGAGGACCGCGCUCCGGCAAGGAUGCUGGCGUAAUGGCCACCGGCGACCCGUCUUGAAACACGGACCAAGGAGUCAAGCAUUGGGGCGAGUGUCUGGGUGGCAAGCCCGCACGCGGAAUGAAAGUGAACGCAGGUGGGAGCUUCGGCGCACCACCGACCGAUCCUGAUGUCCUCGGAUGGAUUUGAGUAGGAGCCCCGCCGCUUGGACCCGAAAGAUGGUGAACUAUGCCUGUAUAGGGUGAAGCCAGAGGAAACUCUGGUGGAGGCCCGCAGCGGUUCUGACGUGCAAAUCGAUC